GAUGAACGCUGGCGGCGUGCUUAACACAUGCAAGUCGAACGGAAAGGCGCUGCUUUUGUGGGGUGCUCGAUUGGCGAACAGGGGAGUAACACGUGAGUAACCUGUCCUUGUCUUUGGGAGAACUUCAGGAGACUGGGGCGAAUACCGGGUAGAAUCUCCUGAUGCGUGUGGUGGAUUGGAAAGUUUCGGCGGUUGGGGAUGUACUCGCGGCUUAUCAGCUUGUUGGUGGGGUAGUGGCUUACCAAGGCUUUGACGGGUAGCCGGCCUGAGAGGGUGACCGGCCACAUUGGGACUGAGAUACGGCCCAGACUCCUACGGGAGGCAGCAGUGGGGAAUAUUGCACAAUGGGCGGAAGCCUGAUGCAGCAACGCCGCGUGCGGGAUGACGGCCUUCGGGUUGUAAACCGCUUUCGCCUGUGACGAAGCGUGAGUGACGGUAAUGGGUAAAGAAGCACCGGCUAACUACGUG
rnacentral:rRNA from 1 species